rnacentral:rRNA from 1 species
GAACCCAACAGGGAUUGCCUCAGUAACGGCGAGUGAAGCGGCAACAGCUCAAAUUUGAAAUCUGGCCCUUUCAGGGUCCGAGUUGUAAUUUGUAGAGGAUGCUUCGGCGAGGGCUCCCGUCUAAGUUCCCUGGAACGGGACGUCAUAGAGGGUGAGAAUCCCGUAUGUGAUGGGUUGCUCGAGCCAUGUGAAGCUCCUUCGACGAGUCGAGUUGUUUGGGAAUGCAGCUCUAAAUGGGAGGUAAAUUUCUUCUAAAGCUAAAUACCGGCCAGAGACCGAUAGCGCACAAGUAGAGUGAUCGAAAGAUGAAAAGCACUUUGGAAAGAGAGUUAAAAAGUACGUGAAAUUGUUGAAAGGGAAGCGCUUGCAACCAGACUUGUCCGCAGUUGUUCAGCCGGUCUCCUGACCGGCGUACUCUUCUGCGGCCAGGCCAGCAUCAGUUCGGGCGGCUGGAUAAAGGCCUCGGGAAUGUGGCUCUCUUCGGGGAGUGUUAUAGCCCGGGGCGGAAUGCAGCCAGCCUGGACUGAGGAUCUCGCUUCGGCAAGGAUGCUGGCGUAAUGGUUGUAAGCGGCCCGUCUUGAAACACGGACCAAGGAGUCUAACAUCUAUGCGAGUGUUUGGGUGUCAAACCCAUACGCGUAAUGAAAGUGAACGGAGGUGGGAACCCGCAAGGGCGCACCAUCGACCGAUCCUGAUGUCUUCGGAUGGAUUUGAGUAAGAGCAUAGCUGUUGGGACCCGAAAGAUGGUGAACUAUGCCUGAAUAGGGUGAAGCCAGAGGAAACUCUGGUGGAGGCUCGCAGCGGUUCUGACGUGCAAAUCGAUCGUCAAAUUUGGGUAUAGGGGCGAAAGACUAAUCGAACCAUCUAGUA